GUUGAACGCUGGCGGCGUGCCUAAUACAUGCAAGUCGAGCGAACAGAUGAGGCGCUUGCUCCUCUGACGUUAGCGGCGGACGGGUGAGUAACACGUGGAUAACCUACCUAUAAGACUGGGAUAACUUCGGGAAACCGGAGCUAAUAUCGGAUAAUAUAUUGAAACGCAUGGUUCAAUAGUGAAAGACGGUUUUGCUGUCACUUAUAGAUGGAUCCGCGCCGCAUUAGCUAGUUGGUAAGGUAAAGGCUUACCAAGGCGACGAUGAGUAGCUGAGCGGAGAGGAGGAUGAGUCAGAAUGGAAAUGAGAGACGGUAGAGAGUCCUACGGGAGGAAGCAGUGGGGAAGAUUGGACAAUGGGCGAAAGAGUGAUAAAGCAAUGCAGGGGGUGUGAAGAAGGUUUUAGGAUUGUAAAGAACUUUAAGUUGGGAGGAAGGGAAGUAAGUUAAUACCUUGCUGUUUUGACGUUAAAAACAGAAUAAGCACCGGCUAACUUAGUG
rnacentral:rRNA from 1 species